rnacentral:misc_RNA from 1 species
GGUCGCGCUCGUUAACUACGGAAAGGACUAUGGGAGGCUCGUUGUCAUCGUCGACGUGCUCGACCAGAACAGGGCUCUGGUUGAUGCUCCUGACAUGGUGCGAGGGCAGAUGAAUUUUAAGAGACUGUCCUUGACUGACAUCAAGAUCGACAUUCCAAGGAUUCCUAAAAAGAAAUCUCUUAUUGCUGCUAUGGAAGCUGCAGAUGUUAAGAACAAAUGGGAGAGCAGCUCGUGGGGCAGAAAGCUGAUUGUUCAGAAAAGGAGGGCAGCGCUCAAUGACUUCGACAGGUUCAAGGUUAUGUUGGCG